GAUGAACGCUGGCGGCGUGCCUAAUACAUGCAAGUCGAGCGAACGGACGAGAAGCUUGCUUUUCUGAUGUUAGCGGCGGACGGGUGAGUAACACGUGGAUAACCUACCUAUAAGACUGGGAUAACUUCGGGAAACCGGAGCUAAUACCGGAUAAUAUUUUGAACCGCAUGGUUCAAAAGUGAAAAACGGUCUUGCUGUCACUUAUAGAUGGAUCCGCGCUGCAUUAGCUAGUUGGUAAGGUAACGGCUUACCAAGGCAACGAUGCAUAGCCGACCUGAGAGGGUGAUCGGCCACACUGGAACUGAGACACGGUCCAGACUCCUACGGGAGGCAGCAGUAGGGAAUCUUCCGCAAUGGGCGAAAGCCUGACGGAGCAACGCCGCGUGAGUGAUGAAGGUCUUCGGAUCGUAAAACUCUGUUAUUAGGGAAGAACAUAUGUGUAAGUAACUGUGCACAUCUUGACGGUACCUAAUCAGAAAGCCACGGCUAACUACGUG
rnacentral:rRNA from 1 species